AUUAGUUUGGCUAUUCCCUCUCUCUUGCCCAUUCACUUUCUCUCACCUAUGUGUUGUUUUUUUGCCACACUAUGACACAGCCAGGACCCCUUACCGGAUAUGUACCCUUGAACUUGGACUUUCCAACCUCCAAAACUAUGAGUCAAGUACACUUCUAUUGUGAAAAUUCCUCUAGCCUGAAGUGUCCUGUUAUAUAUCAGCAUGAAACAGACUAAGACAUUAUUCAUCAGCUAUGUAACAGUGUUCCUGAAACUAUGAAAAAGAUAAACUCAAGGACAGAUGUGUGAUGAAGCAAGUAGAGACGGGCAUACAACUGGGUGCUUACUAUUAAAUUCUUUUAACUAUUA